UACCUGGUUGAUCCUGCCAGUAAUCAUAUGCUUGUCUCAAAGAUUAAGCCAUGCAUGUCUAAGUACAUGCCGAAAUAAGGCGAAACCGCGAAUGGCUCAUUAAAUCAGUUAUGGUUCCUUAGAUCGUUUCUUCCUACUUGGAUAACUGUGGCAAUUCUAGAGCUAAUACAUGCAGUGAGCCUGAAGCCCUUUGGGCGACGGGUGCUUUUAUUAGACCAAGAUCGAUCGGGUUUCGGCCCGUAUUGUGUGGUGACUCUGGAUAACUUUGUGCUGAUCGCAUGGCCACGAGCCGGCGACGUUUCUUUCAAGUGUCUGCCUUAUCAACUUUCGAUGGUAGGAUUACUUGCUUACCAUGGUUGUUACGGGUAACGGAGAAUCAGGGUUCGAUUCCGGAGAGGGAGCCUGAGAAACGGCUACCACAUCCAAGGAAGGCAGCAGGCGCGCAAAUUACCCACUCCCGGCACGGGGAGGUAGUGACGAAAAAUAACAAUACGGGACUCUUUUGAGGCCCCGUAAUUGAAAUGAGUACACUCUAAAUCCUUUAACGAGGAUCAAUUGGAGGGCAAGUCUGGUGCCAGCAGCCGCGGUAAUUCCAGCUCCAAUAGCGUAUACUAAAGCUGCUGCGGUUAAAAAGCUCGUAGUUGGAUCUCAGUUCCAGACGAGUAGUGCAUCUACCCGAUGCGACGGCUCGGACUGAACAUCAUGCCGGUCCUUUCUUGGUGCACUUCAUUGUGUGCCUCGAGAAGGCCGGUGCUUUUACUUUGAAAAAAUUAGAGUGCUCAACGCAGGCGAGUCGCCUGAAUAAACUUGCAUGGAAUAAUAGAACAAGACCUCGUUUCUGUUCUGUUGGUUUUUGGAAUACGAGGUAAUGAUUAAGAGGGACAGACGGGGGCAUUCGUAUUGCGGCGCUAGAGGUGAAAUUCUUGGACCGUCGCAAGACGAACUACUGCGAAAGCAUUUGCCAAGAAUGUUUUCUUUGAUCAAGAACGAAAGUCAGAGGUUCGAAGGCGAUCAGAUACCGCCCUAGUUCUGACCAUAAACGAUGCCAACCAGCGAUCCGCCUGAGUUACUCAAAUGACUCGGCGGGCAGCUUCCGGGAAACCAAAGUGUUUGGGUUCCGGGGGAAGUAUGGUUGCAAAGCUGAAACUUAAAGGAAUUGACGGAAGGGCACCACCAGGAGUGGAGCCUGCGGCUUAAUUUGACUCAACACGGGAAAACUUACCCGGCCCGGACACUGGGAGGAUUGACAGAUUGAGAGCUCUUUCUUGAUUCGGUGGAUGGUGGUGCAUGGCCGUUCUUAGUUGGUGGAGCGAUUUGUCUGGUUAAUUCCGAUAACGAACGAGACUCUAGCCUAUUAAAUAGGUGCGGGGUUCCCAGCACCUUACAACCUUCUUAGAGGGACAAGCGGCUCCUAGCCGCACGAAACAGAGCAAUAACAGGUCUGUGAUGCCCUUAGAUGUCCGGGGCCGCACGCGCGCUACACUGAAGGAAGCAGCGUGUCUUUAUCCCUGUCUGAAAGGACUGGGUAACCCGUGGAACUUCUUUCGUGAUUGGGAUAGGGGCUUGCAAUUGUUCCCCUUGAACGAGGAAUUCCCAGUAAGCGCGAGUCAUAAGCUCGCGUUGAUUACGUCCCUGCCCUUUGUACACACCGCCCGUCGCUACUACCGAUUGAAUGAUUUAGUGAGGUCUUCGGACCGAUGUCCGGCGCGGCCUUUCGGUUGCGCCGGUCUGUUGGAAAGAUGACCAAACUUGAUCAUUUAGAGGAAGUAAAAGUCGUAACAAGGUUUCCGUAGGUGAACCUGCGGAAGGAUCAUUA
rnacentral:rRNA from 1 species